UUCCGUAGGUGAACCUGCGGAACGAUCAUUAAAAAAUUGGACUCCAUUGGUGAGUUCAUUAAUAAUCCCUACCCUUUGUGAAUUUGUUUGUUUGAAUAAUUUUUUUUCCAAAAAAAAUUAUUGAAUGUCUUUCCCUGUUUUGGUGGAGCUUGUAAAGUGAAACCAGGCAGGGGAAUGGCAAACAAUAAUUAUUUUUGAAAAAAGACCUUUUUUUAAAAUUAAACUUUUUGUAUUCAUUUGUCUAAAAUUAUUUUUAUAAUAUAAAAACAACUUUUGACAAUGGAUCUCUUGGUUCUCGCAACGAUGAAGAACGCAGCAAAAUGCGAUAAGUAGUGUGAAUUGCAGAAUACGUGAAUCAUCGAAUCUUCGAACGCAUAUUGCACUUUUUUAGUUUACUAAAAAAGUAUGUCUGUUUGAGUAUCAGUAAAAUAUUCUCAUAAAAAACAUUGUUUUUUUAUGGUUAUGAGUGUUUUACAACGAUAACAAGUUGUUUCACUUUAAAUUCUUUGUUAUCAAAAAAAUCAUUAAAAGCUAAUUUUAAAGAUUUUUUAAAAUUGGAUAAAAUUUUCCCGUAAAAAGGAAUAACCUAAACAAUUUUAAAAAAUUAAAAUUGGUUUGAUUUUUUUUGAAACCCAAAGGAAAAAAAAACGAAAUUAACUUGAUCUCAAAUCAGAUAAGAGUACCCGCUGAACUUAAGCAUAUCAAUAAGCGGAGGAAAAGAAACUAACUAGGAUUCCCUCAGUAACGGCGAGUGAAGCGGGAAGAGCUCAAAUUUGAAAUCUUCAAGGUUUACCUUGACGAAUUGUAGUUUAAAGAAGUGUUUUCUGUUGGAGUUUUGGUAAAAGUUCUUUGGAAAAGGACAUCAUAGAGGGUGAGAAUCCCGUAUUUGACCAUUAUCUCCAGCUUUGUGAUACACUUUCAAAGAGUCGGAUUGUUUGGGAAUGCAGUCCAAAAUGGGUGGUAAAUUUCAUCUAAAGCUAAAUACUGGCGAGAGACCGAUAGCGAACAAGUACCGUGAGGGAAAGAUGAAAAGAACUUUGAAAAGAGAGUUAAACAGUACGUGAAAUUGUCAAAAGGGAAGCGUUUGACACCAGUGUUGUUUUCUCGAAAAUCAAUUAAAAAAGGCCGGAUUUUGUGUUGUAUUGACUUUAUCAGCUUUCUGCACUUUUUUCUUGUCUUUUUUAAUGCACUUUUCGUUUAACAAGUCAACAUCAAUUUCUUUUGUUGUAAAAGGGUCAUUGGAAGGUGGCUUUCUUUACGGAGAAAGUGUUUAUAGCCUUUGGCCUCUGCAAUCGGAGAGAUUGAGGUCUGCAGCGUAGAUCCUUCGGGGUUAGAUACAUUUGUGCUAAGUUAUAGCCUUUCAUAGACAACUUGUUGACUAUGAUCAGUCAUGUAGCUUACUCGCUGAUGCUAUUU
rnacentral:misc_RNA from 1 species